GAUGAACGCUGGCGGCGUGCCUAAUACAUGCAAGUCGAGCGAACAGAUAAGGAGCUUGCUCCUUUGACGUUAGCGGCGGACGGGUGAGUAACACGUGGGUAACCUACCUAUAAGACUGGGAUAACUUCGGGAAACCGGAGCUAAUACCGGAUAACAUUUGGAACCGCAUGGCUCUAAAGUGAAAGAUGGUUUUGCUAUCACUUAUAGAUGGACCCGCGCCGUAUUAGCUAGUUGGUAAGGUAACGGCUUACCAAGGCAACGAUACGUAGCCGACCUGAGAGGGUGAUCGGCCACACUGGAACUGAGACACGGUCCAGACUCCUACGGGAGGCAGCAGUAGGGAAUCUUCCGCAAAGGGCGAAAGCCUGACGGAGCAACGCCGCGUGAGUGAUGAAGGGUUUCGGCUCGUAAAACUCUGUUAUUAGGGAAGAACAAACGUGUAAGUAACUGUGCACGUCUUGACGGUACCUAAUCAGAAAGCCACGGCUAACUACGUG
rnacentral:rRNA from 1 species